UUGCACAGGUGUAGGUGUUGAGCUCAGAAGAUGUAGAAAGUUACGCUGAAUGGUUGCAUUACUAAUGUAGGGAUUAGCAAGGCUGCCUUGUGAUUGUAGGGAUGUACUCUGAGCUUGUGUAGGUGGUGGCAUGCCUACUUUGUGUGACUUGUUUCACAACCUUAGCAAACUUGCUGAGAAGGGAUGUGUGGGAGAUUCAGAUUAGAAGAUCAGAUGCUUUUCUGGAUGACUAAGGAACAGACCAGAGGAAACUUCCUUUUGAGGGAGUGGUUUUGAUUCUGAAACAGCAAAAAUCCUGUGGGAUGCCAAGAUGUGAUGGUCCUCUUUGGCUCUCAGAGCAGCUGUGCCUUGCGCCUGACACAGAGACCUUCAUCCUCUGCUUUCAAAGGUCAGUUGUGCCAUUGGGUUGUACUGUGAUGGUGGGAACCUGCUCUAAGGACAUAAGACUCACUUAAGAGGCUAUGCACUUUUGCGAGGCGUCCACGUUUCUCCCAUCUCUGUCAUCCCACACAGUAUUCCAGUACAGCCUCACCUGUGUGUGCCGUCUGGUUUGAAUGACAUUCCCAGGGCUACCCAAGAGCUGAAACACAACUCUCAGGUGGGA